AACGAACGCUGGCGGCAUGCCUAACACAUGCAAGUCGAACGAGACCUUCGGGUCUAGUGGCGCACGGGUGCGUAACGCGUGGGAACCUGCCCUUAGGUUCGGAAUAACUCCCCGAAAGGGGUGCUAAUACCGGAUAAUGUCUUCGGACCAAAGAUUUAUCGCCUUUGGAUGGGCCCGCGUUGGAUUAGCUAGUUGGUAGGGUAAAAGCCUACCAAGGCGACGAUGCAUAGCUGGUCUGAGAGGAUGACAAGGCACACUGGGACUGAGACACGGCCCAGACUCCUACGGGGGGCAGCAGUGGGGAAUAUUGGGCGCGGGGCCAAAGCCUGAUCAAGCAACGCCGCGUGAGUGAUGAAGGCCUUAGGGUUGUAAAGCUCUUUUAGCCGGGAUGAUAAUGACAGUACCGGGAGAAUAAGCUCCGGCUAACUCCGUG
rnacentral:rRNA from 1 species